rnacentral:rRNA from 1 species
UACGGGGGGGGCAAGCGUUGUUCGGAAUUACUGGGCGUAAAGGGCUCGUAGGCGGCCAACUAAGUCAGACGUGAAAUCCCUCGGCUUAACCGGGGAACUGCGUCUGAUACUGGAUGGCUUGAGAUUGGGAGAGGGAUGCGGAAUUCCAGGUGUAGCGGUGAAAUGCGUAGAUAUCUGGAGGAACACCGGUGGCGAAGGCGGUCAUCGGCGUGC